rnacentral:rRNA from 1 species
GAUCAUGGCUCAGGACGAACGCUGGCGGCGUGCCUAACACAUGCAAGUCGAGCGGAGCCAAUUGACGGAAUCCUUCGGGAGGAAGACGAGGAAGCUUAGCGGCGGACGGGUGAGUAACGCGUGAGUAACCUGCCCAUAAGAGGGGGAUAACACAUUGAAAAGUGUGCUAAUACCGCAUAUUGAGCGAUGACCGCAUGGUCGAUGCUUGAAAGAUUUAUCGCUUAUGGAUGG